rnacentral:rRNA from 1 species
GACGAACGCUGGCGGCGUGCCUAAUACAUGCAAGUCGAACGCUUCUUUCCUCCCGAGUGCUUGCACUCAAUUGGAAAGAGGAGUGGCGGACGGGUGAGUAACACGUGGGUAACCUACCCAUCAGAGGGGGAUAACACUUGGAAACAGGUGCUAAUACCGCAUAACAGUUUAUGCCGCAUGGCAUAAGAGUGAAAGGCGCUUUCGGGUGUCGCUGAUGGAUGGACCCGCGGUGCAUUAGCUAGUUGGUGAGGUAACGGCUCACCAAGGCCACGAUGCAUAGCCGACCGGGGAGGGUGAUCGGCCACACUGGGACUGAGACACGGCCCAGACUCCUACGGGAGGCAGCAGUAGGGAAUCUUCGGCAAUGGACGAAAGUCUGACCGAGCAACGCCGCGUGAGUGAAGAAGGUUUUCGGAUCGUAAAACUCUGUUGUUAGAGAAGAACAAGGACGUUAGUAACGGAACGUCCCCUGACGGUAUCUAACCAGAAAGACACGGCUAACUACGU